rnacentral:misc_RNA from 1 species
AUGCGAUAAGUAGUGUGAAUUGCAGAAUUCAGUGAAUCAUCGAAUCUUUGAACGCACAUUGCGCCCCUUGGUAUUCCAUGGGGCAUGCCUGUUCGAGCGUCAUUUGUACCUUCAAGCUUUGCUUGGUGUUGGGUGUUUGUCUCGCCUCUGCGUGUAGACUCGCCUUAAAACAAUUGGCAGCCGGCGUAUUGAUUUCGGAGCGCAGUACAUCUCGCGCUUUGCACUCAUAACGACGACGUCCAAAAGUACAUUUUUACACUCUUGACCUCGGAUCAGGUAGGGAUACCCGCUGAACUUAA